UGGCUUCAGAUGCGACUGCUGGUUGGCUUCAGUGCCAUCAAAGUUGUAAAGGAUCCCUGAAUAAGGAAUCCAAUUGCCUCUCGGUUUUCUGGCGCUUAUAGGCCCCGCAGUCGCUGGCAUGCCACAGAAGGUAAACAAGUAAUUUUGAAACUCUCCGCCUGUCGUCAGCAGAGAUCUCUCGAAAUACGGGGGAAAAACAAGUAAUAGUGAAACAAGUGUUGUAAUUGGUGAAGAGAAGGAAACUAUAACAUAUUCGGAACAACCACGUGAGACACCAUGUCGAAUAAGUGUGGGAAAACAACACUCACCAACUUUCUAAGUGAGGCUGGAGAAGUGGGAAGUGGGGAGUACAGACCCACCAAAGGCUGCAGGAUUCUGGAAUUCGAAGUGCCCAAUGUAACCUACAACAAUACUGCAGCCAGUG